rnacentral:rRNA from 1 species
UUCGCAAUGCCCGAAAGGGUGACGAAGCGACGCCGCGUGCGGGAAGAAGGCCUUCGGGUUGUAAACCGCUGUCGGGAGUUAAGAAAUGCAAGGGUGUUAACAGCAUCCUUGCUUGACUAAGGCUCCGGAGGAAGCCACGGCUAACUCUGUGCCAGCAGCCGCGGUAAUACAGAGGCGGCAAGCGUUGUUCGGAAUUAUUGGGCGUAAAGAGCACGUAGGCGGCUGUGUAAGUCGGUUGUGAAAGCCUUCCGCUCAACGGGGGAACGGCAUCCGAUACUGCAUGGCUUGAGUGCGGGAGGGGGGAGUGGAACUUCUGGUGGAGCGGUGAAAUGCGUAGAUAUCAGAAGGAACACCGGCGGCGAAGGCGACUCUCUGGCCCGUAACUGACGCUGAGUGUGCGAAAGCUAGGGGAGCAAACGGGAUUAGAUACCCCGGUAGUCCUAGCCGUAAACGAUGGGCACUAAGUAGAGGGGUUUU